rfam:Ictidomys tridecemlineatus contig082069, whole genome shotgun sequence.
GGGGAUAUAGCUCAGUUGGUAAAGUGCUUGCCUCAAAAGCAAAAGGCCCUGGGUUCAAUCCCCAGUACCACCA